rnacentral:misc_RNA from 1 species
UUCUAGAUUUUUAUUCUUAGAGUCAAGCUUGCAUGUAAGGAAUUCUUCUUUUAUAGAGGCAAAUAAUGCGUUUAUAUGAAUGGAAGUGCACGGAGGGUUUUGAUUCAAAUGAGAAAUACUCUAAAUUUUUCAUGUUUUUUGCUAGAUGUUGAUUUCAUGUGUCUAUCAUGAGCUCUUUUCAGUUGAUAAGCAUACAUCUAGUAAGUCUUAAAUGUCGAUUUGGUGAAGCAAAUGAAAUGGUUUUCUCUUGUUAUGAGGUUUGAGAAAUGAAUUUUAAGUUUUAAAAAGUAUUAAUGGGUGGAUGUGACUUUUG